AUGAACGCUGGCGGCGUGCCUCAUACAUGCAAGUCGAGCGAACGGACGAGAAGCUUGCUUCUCUGAUGUUAGCGGCGGACGGGUGAGUAACACGUGGAUAACCUACCUAUAAGACUGGGAUAACUUCGGGAAACCGUAGCUAAUACCGGAUAAUAUUUUGAACCGCAUGGUUCAAAAGUGAAAGACGGUCUUGCUGUCACUUAUAGAUGGAUCCGCGCUGCAUUAGCUAGUUGGUAAGGUAACGGCUUACCAAGGCAACGAUGCAUAGCCGACCUGAGAGGGUGAUCGGCCACACUGGAACUGAGACACGGUCCAGACUCCUACGGGAGGCAGCAGUAGGGAAUCCUCCGCAAUGGGCGAAAGCCUGACGGAGCAACGCCGCGUGAGUGAUGAAGGUCUUCGGAUCGUAAAACUCUGUUAUUAGGGAAGAACAUAUGUGUAAGUAACUGUGCACAUCUUGACUGUACCUAAUCAGAAAGCCACGGCUAACUACGUG
rnacentral:rRNA from 1 species